GCCAGGUGUGGCGGUGCACACCUGUAGUCUCAGCUACUCGGGAGGCUGAGGCAGGAGGAUCACUUGACCCUGGGAGGUCGAGGCUGCAGUGAGCUGAGACUGCACCACUGCACUCCAGCCUGGGUGACAGAGUGAGACCCUGUCUCAA
rnacentral:SRP_RNA from 1 species